rnacentral:rRNA from 1 species
UACUGAGAGGUGAAUUAAAAGAGAAUUGGUUAAAAAUAAUUAAAUGAUUUGUUUAAGCAAAGUGAUCUUUAAAUUUGUACUGAUAAAGGGUGAAAUCAACUUUUUGGUAUGCAAGUAGUUAGAUUUUCUUAAAUUAAAUUGAAGUUAUUAAGGUAGAGGUAUGAACCAGGAUUAGAUACCCUGUUACACUUUACUUAAAAUUGAAAUACCUGGGUAUUAAACAGUUAUUAUCUUGAAACUCAAAGGAUUUGGCGGUAGCUUAGUCUAUUUAGAGGAACCUGUCCUGUAAUCGAUAGUCCACGGAGAAUCUUACUUUAUUUUGUAGAGUUCAGUUUGUAUACCGUCAUUAUUAGAUAACUUUAAUAAGAUUUUUAGUUAUUGUAAUAAUUUUUUUUCUUAGAAUAUUAGAUCAAGGUGCAGCUUAUAAUAAAGGAGAGAUGGGUUACAAUAAUAUAAAUGUAUAUGGAUUAAAGAAAGAAUAUUUUUUAUGAAAGUGGAUUUAAUGGUAAAAUAAUUUUAAUAAGAUUUUUUGAUUGUAGCUCUAGGCUAUGUACACAUCGCCCGUCGCUCUCGUUAAUUAAAGC